rnacentral:precursor_RNA from 1 species
CGCGCCCGGGCUCCGCGCCGCUCGGCCCGCAGUCCUCGGCCGCGGAGCGGAGCCGGCGCCGC